CAGGCUCUUUUCUGAUCUCUGUCUCUCUGGUUCUGGUUCUGGUUCUGAUCAUCGUUGGUCUCUUAUUACUGUUUCAUUGUAGGAAGCAUCAGUCUCGAGGCGGUGAUUCGUCAUCUGAGACUGAAGUAGGAAAACAUGAAGCAGUUUCUCACACCGGAUGUGAUUAUGAGGAGAUUAAAGACACUCAAGGACAAUUACCCACAAACCCCUCUGAUUCAUCUAACACUUAUUAUGCUACUGCUCAAUUACCCACAACCCCCUCUGAUUCAACUGUUUACUCUACAGUUGAGGAAGCCACUGGUGACUCUCAGAUCUUCAUCACAUCUGCUGAGGAUCUGAAUUAUAUCGUGGUGAAUUUCCAGAAGAAAGCAGACUGUCCUGACAGAGUCAGAUUGAGGAAUAAUCAGGAUUACAGUGAAUACACUGCUGUCAAUCCUCUCACUGUCUGAAGAUCCACAGCAGACAAUCUCAAUGAGAUGAAGACUUUGAUUUUGGGUUUAAGCCUCUAUGUUUGGUAUUUGUGUUAUUUACGUGGUUCUCCUCUGCUCUGUAUUUAAGACUUGUAAGUCAGAUGAGA